rnacentral:rRNA from 1 species
GUUGUGCCCUUGAGGCGUGGCUUCCGGAGCUAACGCGUUAAAUCGACCGCCUGGGGAGUACGGCCGCAAGGUUAAAACUCAAAUGAAUUGACGGGGGCCCGCACAAGCGGUGGAGCAUGUGGUUUAAUUCGAUGCAACGCGAAGAACCUUACCUGGUCUUGACAUCCACAGAACUUUCCAGAGAUGGAUUGGUGCCUUCGGGAACUGUGAGACAGGUGCUGCAUGGCUGUCGUCAGCUCGUGUUGUGAAAUGUUGGGUUAAGUCCCGCAACGAGCGCAACCCUUAUCCUUUGUUGCCAGCGGUUAGGCCGGGAACUCAAAGGAGACUGCCAGUGAUAAACUGGAGGAAGGUGGGGAUGACGUCAAGUCAUCAUGGCCCUUACGACCAGGGCUACACACGUGCUACAAUGGCAUAUACAAAGAGAAGCGACCUCGCGAGAGCAAGCGGACCUCAUAAAGUAUGUCGUAGUCCGGAUUGGAGUCUGCAACUCGACUCCAUGAAGUCGGAAUCGCUAGUAAUCGUAGAUCAGAAUGCUACGGUGAAUACGUUCCCGGGCCUUGUACACACCGCCCGUCACACCAUGGGAGUGGGUUGCAAAAGAAGUAGGUAGCUUAACCUUCGGGAGGGCGCUUACCACUUUGUGAUUCAUGACUGGGGUGAAGUCGUAACAAGGUAACCGUAGGGGAACCUGCGGUUGGAUCACCUCCUUA